rnacentral:rRNA from 1 species
GCUCAUGCAGUCGAGCGCCCCGCAGGGAGCGGCAGACGGGUGAGUAACGCGUGGGAACGUACCUUUUGCUACGGAAUAACUCAGGGAAACUUGUGCUAAUACCGUAUGUGCCCUUCGGGGGAAAGAUUUAUCGGCAAAGGAUCGGCCCGCGUUGGAUUAGCUAGUUGGUGAAGUAAAGGCUCACCUAGGCUACGAUCCAUAGCUGGUCUGACAGGAGGAUCCACCACUGUGGGACUGAUACACGCCCCACACUCCU